AUACGUAGGAGGCAAGCGUUGUCCGGAAUUAUUGGGCGUAAAGCGCGCGCAGGUGGUUCCUUAAGUCUGAUGUGAAAGCCCCCGGCUCAACCGGGGAGGGUCAUUGGAAACUGGGGAACUUGAGUGCAGAAGAGGAUAGUGGAAUUCCAAGUGUAGCGGUGAAAUGCGUAGAGAUUUGGAGGAACACCAGUGGCGAAGGCGACUGUCUGGUCUGUAACUGACACUGAGGCGCGAAAGCGUGGGGAGCAAACAGGAUUAGAUACCCUGGUAGUCCACGCCGUAAACGAUGAGUGCUAAGUGUUGGGGGGUUUCCGCCCCUCAGUGCUGCAGCUAACGCAUUAAGCACUCCGCCUGGGGAGUACGGUCGCAAGACUGAAACUCAAAUGAAUUGACGGGG
rnacentral:rRNA from 1 species